rnacentral:rRNA from 1 species
GAGAGUUUGAUCCUGGCUCAGGACGAACGCUGGCGGCGCGCCUAACACAUGCAAGUCGAACGAAGCUUUGGAUUCGUCUGAAGCUUAGUGGCGGACGGGUGAGUAACACGUGAAGAACCUGCCUUACAGAGGGGGACAACAGUUGGAAACGACUGCUAAUACCGCAUAACAUUUUGGGAGGGCAUCCUUCUGAAAUCAAAGGAGCAAUCCGCUGUAAGAUGGCUUCGCGUCCGAUUAGACAGUUGGCGGGGUAACGGCCCACCAAAUCUACGAUCGGUAGCCGGACUGAGAGGUUGAUCGGCCACAUUGGGACUGAGACACGGCCCAGACUCCUACGGGAGGCAGCAGUGGGGAAUAUUGCACAAUGGAGGAAACUCUGAUGCAGCGACGCCGCGUGAGGGAAGAAGGUUUUCGGAUUGUAAACCUCUGUCUUCGGUGACGAAAAUGACGGUAGCCGAGGAGGAAGCCACGGCUAACUACGUGCCAGCAGCCGCGGUAAUACGUAGGUGGCAAGCGUUGUCCGGAAUUACUGGGUGUAAAGGGAGCGUAGGCGGGAAGGCAAGUUGAUUGUCUAAACUAUGGGCUCAACCCAUAGUCGCGAUCAAAACUACUUUUCUUGAGUGAAGUAGAGGUAAGCGGAAUUCCUAGUGUAGCGGUGAAAUGCGUAAAUAUUAGGAGGAACACCAGUGGCGAAGGCGGCUUACUGGGCUUUAACUGACGCUGAGGCUCGAAAGCGUGGGUAGCAAACAGGAUUAGAUACCCUGGUAGUCCACGCCGUAAACGAUGAUUACUAGGUGUGGGGGGACUGACCCCUUCCGUGCCGGAGUUAACACAAUAAGUAAUCCACCUGGGGAGUACGACCGCAAGGUUGAAACUCAAAGGAAUUGACGGGGGCCCGCACAAGCAGUGGAGUAUGUGGUUUAAUUCGAAGCAACGCGAAGAACCUUACCAGGUCUUGACAUCGUAUGACCGCCAUAGAAGUAUGGUUUUCCCUUCGGGGACAUAUAGACAGGUGGUGCAUGGUUGUCGUCAGCUCGUGUCGUGAGAUGUUGGGUUAAGUCCCGCAACGAGCGCAACCCUUAUGUUUAGUUGCUACGCAAGAGCACUCUAGACAGACUGCCGUUGACAAAACGGAGGAAG